rnacentral:rRNA from 1 species
AGCGGUGGAGUAUGUGGCUUAAUUCGAGGCUACGCGAAGAACCUUAUCCUAGUCUUGACAUGCACGGAUUAACUCCCUGAAAGGGGAGCCAGGCCUUCGGGUACAACGUGCACAGGUGCUGCAUGGCUGUCGUCAGCUCGUGCUGUGAAGUGUCGCGUUAAGUCGCUUAACGAGCGAAACCCUUAUCAUUAGUUGCCAGCGCGUCAUGGCGGGGACUCUAGUGAGACUGCCGGUGUUAAACCGGAGGAAGGUGGGGAUGACGUCAAGUCCUCAUGG